rnacentral:rRNA from 1 species
CAGCAGCCGCGGUAAUACCGGCGGCCCGAGUGGCGGUCACUAUUAUUGGGCUUAAAGCGUCCGUAGCCGGGUUGGGAAGUCCUCCGGGAAAUCUGGCCGCUUAACGGUCAGAAUGCCGGAGGAUACUCCCAGCCUAGGGAGCGGGAGAGGCCGAGGGGAUUCCCGGAGUAGGGGGGAAAUCCUAUAAUCCCGGGAGGACCACCUGUGGCGAAGGCGCUCGGCUGGAACGCGUCCGACGGUGAGGGACGAAAGCCAGGGGAGCAAACCGGAUUAGAUACCCGGGUAGUCCUGGCUGUAAACGAUGCGGACUUUGUGUCGGACAAGCUAUGAGCUUGUCCGGUGCCGGAGGGAAACCGUUAAGUCCGCCGCCUGGGGAGUACGGCCGCAAGGCUGAAACUUAAAGGAAUUGGCGGG